GACGAACCGUGCUAACGUUAUUCGGAAUCACUGGGCAUAAAGGGCGCGUAGGCGGCUUUCUAAGUCAGGGGUGAAAUCCGGCAGCUCAACUGUCGCAGUGCCUUUGAUACUGGGAAGCUCGAGGGAGGUAGGGGUCUGUGGAACUUCCGGUGGAGCGGUGAAAUGCGUUGAUAUCAGGAGGAACACCUGUGGCGAAAGCGGCGCACUGGACCACAACUGACGCUGAGGCGCGAAAGCUAGGGGAGCAAACAGG
rnacentral:rRNA from 1 species